rnacentral:tRNA from 1 species
GUAGGCUUAGUUUAACAAAAAUAUUAGAUUGUGAUUCUAAAGAUAAAGAUUAAACUUCUUUAGCCCACC